rnacentral:lncRNA from 1 species
GCUGUUGCUGUUUUGCUGUGUUGAUUACUGCCUUCCUGAUUUCUCACCUUCUCCCUUUUGUUUCUAAUAUCAGGUACGCAACUGGUACACCUUGUAAGUUGAUAACAUGAAGCAUGAAUAAGAAAUGAAAAGUUGAAGUUUUAAAUUCGUUGUAGUUGUUUACUUGCUCGUAUAUACAGUAGAAUACUUCUUUCAUUAGAGUCAUGUAGUU